rnacentral:rRNA from 1 species
UCCUGGCUCAGGAUGAACGCUAGCUACAGGCUUAACACAUGCAAGUCGAGGGGAAACGAUAUUGGAAGCUUGCUUCUGAUAGGCGUCGACCGGCGCACGGGUGAGUAACGCGUAUCCAACCUGCCCAUCACUUGGGGAUAACCUUGUGAAAGUAAGACUAAUACCCAAUGACGUCUCUAGAAGACAUCUGAAAGAGAUUAAAGAUUUAUCGGUGAUGGAUGGGGAUGCGUCUGAUUAGCUUGUUGGCGGGGUAACGGCCCACCAAGGCGACGAUCAGUAGGGGUUCUGAGAGGAAGGUCCCCCACAUUGGAACUGAGACACGGUCCAAACUCCUACGGGAGGCAGCAGUGAGGAAUAUUGGUCAAUGGACGAGAGUCUGAACCAGCCAAGUAGCGUGCAGGAUGACGGCCCUAUGGGUUGUAAACUGCUUUUAUAAGGGAAUAAAGUGGGAGUCGUGACUCUUUUUGCAUGUACCUUAUGAAUAAGGACCGGCUAAUUCCGUG